UGCGUUGCAUAGUGGCAGUAUCGUAACCAAUGAGACUUAACCGAGGUGCGAUUAUUGUUACUCGAAAACUUCAAAUAUAGUCGACCAUAGUAAGUUUUCUUAGCCCUAAUUGGUGUUAUAUACAUUUAGUCAUCUUA